rnacentral:rRNA from 1 species
UACGUAGGGGGCUAGCGUUGUCCGGAAUCAUUGGGCGUAAAGCGCGUGUAGGCGGCCCGAUAAGUCCGCUGUGAAAGUCCAGGGCUCAACCCUGGGAUGCCGGUGGAUACUGUCGGGCUCGAGUCCGGAAGAGGCGAGUGGAAUUCCUGGUGUAGCGGUGAAAUGCGCAGAUAUCAGGAGGAACACCCGUGGCGAAAGCGGCUCUCUGGGACGGUACUGACGCUGAGACGCGAAAGCGUGGGGAGCGAACAGG